ensembl:rRNA 5S_rRNA 5S ribosomal RNA
AUCUACGGCCAUACCACCCUGAACAAGCCCGAUCUCUUCUGAUCUCGGAAGCUAAGCAGGGUAGGGCUUGGUUAGUACUUGCAUGGGAGAAAUUAACUACCUUACAAA